rnacentral:lncRNA from 1 species
AGUUGUUAAAAAAAACAACAGGAUCCUGCCUCAACUCUCUCUGCAGCAAGCUGAAUAAACCUCCAUUAUCAUGACACUGAUAUUAUUUUCUACUACUUUAAACAUUACCACAGAUUCUGAAUAUAUAGCUAAUUUUUUCCCUCAUAUUUCUGUAGCUGUGUUAUCCCCUCAUUUGGAUUCUGAUUUACUAUUUUUUUAACCUUUCAGACUCUUUCACAGCAUCAAAAGUCUCCAAUCUUCCUUGCUCAUAUGCACAGCCAUACCAUGAUUCCUGGACCUCUGACCGAGAAUAACGCCCACACAGAUACAGCUGUGAGGUCCCUAAUCUUUUAUUGUCAGAUGCUGUAAAACUCAUGGAUUUUCUGCUCAUGAAGGAAGACGUUUUCCAUUUCUUCCCCAAAAGCUCAGGCCACUGUCAAUAACUGUUCUCACUGUAUAUCCUUCUGGGCCCCUAUGUGGGAAUCUGUAAACCCACAAGGACUAUAUUCUAAUGCACUUAGGCAAAUGGGUGUUAACCCAUUGACCUCCUUUUCAUCCUUAUUCCUUUCUUCAUAUUUCCACUGAUAUCAUUCUGGGUUUAUUUGGGCUACUGCAGAUUGAUCUAAAAAUUUACCUGCUCACAAUUCUCGUUUAUUAUUCUGCUUUGUCACUAUGGGCAAGCCUACUUAUUUAAAACAGAAAAUGCCCCUGCAUAUAUACCCUGUGCUUUUGCACAAUUUGCUACUCAUUGGUAUAUAAUUUUAAUCCAUGGAAUUACUCAUACUCCUACCAAAAAAUCCUUGGUUGAUGAGCACAUUGUACCCUAAUGACAUUCUAUUUAAAAAAUUAAAAAGGGGACAUAACCCACAGUAUAAUACAAUUCUUAAUUUUAUGAAAAUGGGAAUAAAAUAAAGAAUAUAAGGAACAAUGGGGAUCAAGUGAACUUAAGUGGUGGUUUAUAAUUCCUAAAAGUUUUCCUGAGAACUGGAAAUUUCUUAUAUUUGAAAUCUCCUGUUUAUAUGACAGUCAUGUUUUCUUGUUUACACUUAAUAUGCUCUGGUUAUUCUAAUUUAUGGAAAAAUGAGCUGAUUUUUAUUAUCAUCAAUGCCAAACAAGGCUUCAAAUUAAUUAAAAUCUUUCAUUAAACAUAAAGUUACUUUCACAUAUGCUACAAUCAUAAUAAGUACAUAUAUUUGCAUAUGCUUUCUUUGGAUUUUAAAAUAUUCCCUACUGCAAGAUUUUGUAUACAAAAAUCCCAUUGUUGCUUACAUAAUAGUAAAUUAAUCAAAUUAAGUUAUACUACCUAGAAUAAAAUAAAAUGAAAAUAAUUUACUCAUAAAAUUCAUUUUAAAUCAUCUUUAUUUAUAAAAUACUAUCCUAAGAUUUAUAAUUCCAUUAAGCUUCAACUGUAGCAAAAUAUAAUCACUUACUUAAGCAAAAACAGAUACUUCAACUUAAAAUGAGAGAUAAGUCAAAUUACUUUUGAAAAGAGAUCAGAAAUAUCAGGUUUUUUGUUGUGGUUCUGGAUUUUCAGUAGCAGUCUCAUUUCAAGGUGGAAUCAACCCUGAAGGUAACUUACUUCUACUUUCAGAAUGUGGACAUAGGGGAGGAAUGCGGUUCUUGGUGGAAGAUCAUGAGAAAAACACCUCAGUGAAUAGACAUUUCCCAUUGGGAAUGGAGGGGGUUGUGGGCCCCAGUGGAAAAUAAUCUCUAGAUGCUCCAUAUAUGUUUCCUGGUGAAGGUGGAGGAAAAAAAAUUUGUCUUCUCAUGAACUGACUCCUUGGGUCCACUGGAAACAAUGCACCUCUGACUGGAGGGGAAGAUGAAAAAACAAAACUAGAGCCAGUUGCUUGGUUUUUAGCAAUGAGAGAUGAAUCAGGCACAUAAGAAUUACCAAGAUUGACUUUGAUAUCAUCUUUACUAGAUUCCAUUUUUGAAGACAGAGGCCCAUACACUUUAUCCAAAAGAAAGCAUAUUAAAAUUUCUGUGUUCUGCCAGUCCAGAUAGUCUACCAUAAUUAGAAUAAUAUACAUCCUCCGUUUGUAGAGGAAGAUGUGGAUCCGAAUAUGGUUUACCUGGUGGAGGGAUCAUCAUCCUACAGGCCUUUUCCCAUGGAGGUGACAGGGGCCCAGGAUUAUGAGGCACUCUUGAGGAUCAAUUAACCCAACAUAGCCUUAUUUUCUCCUGUCAUUGAUAAUCUGAGGUUCCAGAUGACUCUCUCGGCCUCUUGAGCCUCUUUCUCCUCCCACUGGCACCAAAGAUGAGAAUAUGAAUGGACCCUUCUUCUCCAAAUUAGGUCCUAUCAUUUCAGAUGAAGUUUGACCCAAUAGUGAGGGACCAUUUGGGAAUGAUCUCUGGCAAAGGCUGUAUUUGAAUCAUCAAGUGCAUAAGAAUCUUUUCCUAAAAAGUUUAAAUUUAACCUCAUUUUCACUUAAUUUUUGUCUGUUGUAAGCAUUUUGUUUCCUUAAAUCUUGAGGUAACUUUUAGCACUGUGUGCUGCCAGCUCAUUAUCAUGUGCUUUUUUUUCAUAGUACAUAAUCUGCUCCUGAUAAGAAAGAAUGGUUCUCUCUAGUUCUUCUUCAAGAUUUUUGACUUGGUUUCUAUAGUUCUCCAGCUGUUCAGUUGUAUGGCUGAUGUAUUCAUCCACUUUGGAAAGUUUCUCCUCUUGCUCUACCCAGUAAUUUUCCUCUCCUAUUAAUUUCCUUGUGAGUUUCAUUACAUUUUUUGUUAUAGUUCAAUCAUGACAUUAAAUUUCUGCUGAAGAUUCUGAUUCUCUCUUUUAAAUUGUGUAUUUUUGACUGCAAAGAUGCUUGCUCUGUCUUAAGGUUUUUAAUAUGUUCUAUAAGGUCUUCCUUUACUUCAUCUACUUCAGAUGAUAAAGUAAACAUUUUAUUUUAUUCUCCUUCUAAGGUUUUUAAAAGGGGCAUUUAACUUAGCAUCAUAAACCUGUUCCUUCAAAACUCCUUUUGGCUGAUCGUCUAAGUGAGCACCAAUUUCUGAUUCACUCUUCAUUUUCAUUUCCAAGUUACCAUCAUCUUUUAGGUCUUCUCCAAACACAGAAGCCCAAUCUCUCAUCUGAACCAAGUGUUGAGUCAGAGACUUAAUGUAAUUUUCUUUCUCUCUUAGAACUUGUUCUGCAUAGAGAGUCUUCCAAUGUUAUUUUCUGUUUAUUAAGGUCAUUCACUUUUUCUUUCCAUACUUCAGCUUCUUGUAAAAGUUGUUUUUGAGUAUCCUGAAGUUGGAAAUUUUCUUUCAAAACCUCUUUUAUUGCUACCUUAAAUCAUUCUACAUUCAUUUGAAGUAUUCUCAAGGUUGUGUCAGAUUUGGCUAUUAGUAACUUGAGGGGUUUUGAUUUAUCUACUAGGGACUUAAUCCUUCUUGAUAUAUCUGCCAUUAAUUCAUCCUGUUGAGAAUGUUUAGUUUUCUCUUUUUUAAGCUCUUUUUCUAGAAAGAGUAUUUCAUCCCCAAGUUUAGAUUUAGACCUAUCCAGCUUAUCAUACAUUGCCUCCAAAUUUUCUGCUUCUAUAGACUUCUUCUCCAAAAUGGCAACCUUUAAAGAUGACUCUAAGCCUUCAUACUCUUUUUGCACAAGGCUAACUUUCUCAAGUAGUACACCUUUUUCUUCAAUUAGUCCAGCAAGUUUUAGAGCAAGCUUUUUUUCCUCUUCUCACAUAAUAAAUGCCUCUAACACAUUGACAACAUGUCCACAGAAACAAGAGAACAGCAAAAAAUGCAAUAGCUGCAUAUAUCACCAACUCCCAAGGAUAUCCAUAAGGAUGAGGGCCUGGUUUCAUAUCUGCAGACAAUGAUGCCAAAGCCCUGUGUACAUCUUCUAGGAUGAGCCCCAAAUACAGCUGAGGGGCACCCCUUGGCCACUCCAUCACACCAAGUCUGCUUUGCCUAAUGCUGCUGAAGCCACAGUCUGUCCAGCCAUGCCCUAACAGGCUGUGAACACUCAGGUCUUUGGUGAGGAACUCAAACCUGCACCAGGCAAUGGAGCAUACCAAUGUGAAGCAGCUGUGGGGGUGGGAUGUAGAGCUGUGGGCAUGGGGAUGGGAAGCCACAGUCAUAGGCUCCCAGGAGCCUAGCACACUCAAGUGCCUGUCAGGGAAUUCUUGGCCCCUUCACUAUGGCAUGCAUCCUGAAGCAGUGAAGGUUCCAGUCUGUCCCAGUUGAGCCAGAGAGGACUCCUCUCCUUGCCACCCACCCCUUAGUUUAGUUUCAUCCAGCCCAAGACAGAGCUUUUUAUGUGCUCUUCCAUUCAGUCAUAAUGUCAACCAGUUUGAUGUAACUAAAAUUCUAAAGCUUUGUAAAAUAAUUUAAAGAGCUACUACAUCAUAUAUUUGUACUACUUGCCCUAUUAUUGUAAUGACUCAUUCCUUUCCCUCCCCUCCUGUCCACUCCCUUUUUCCUUCCUUCUUCCUUCUUUGUCCCUUCUCUCCCUUUCCUUCCCUUGCAGUGUUGGGAGUUAAACUCCAAGGCCUUCUCCAUGCUAGGCAAGCUCUCUAUUACUGAGCAGCAUCUGCAGCCUGUUGACACUUACUAUAGAAGUAAUCUGAAUUAUUUCUAUAGAAAAACUCUUGAGUUAGAAACUAUUUCAAAAGUAAUUUUAAAAGAGUUGGUACCCUGGGCACAAAUCAGUUAUAACAAGUUGUUUUUUAAAAGUACAAAAAGCCUAUGUAAUAUUUCUACAAAAAUGAAUUUGAAACUUGAGUUGAUUUUCAUGUCUGUUUUACUAGACUACUACUUAUUUAAGACUUCCAAAUCAUUUUUCAGAUGUUCUUUUGACUUCUUAUAUGAUGUAAAAACUUCUAAGAAACUGGGUCAUUAUAAAUAUACAGCAGAAAUAAGGAUAAGAUCUGACACUUUGAAAUGGCUUUAGCUCCUAAAGGUGAAUUAUGUUGUUGUUUCUGCAACUGGUAUUUGGGGCAAAAAUGGGAGUUCAUAACCCACUUGAAUCAAAUGUAUGAAAGAUGAUAUGUCAUGAGCUUUGUAAUGUUUUGAACAACCAAUAAAAAAGAUAGAGUUCAUUGCUUGAUGUAAAUAAAAGACAUCUAAUAUAUUUUUUUUAUUCCUAGUUAUGCUUGAAUUGUUGAUAAGCCAAAUCUAAU